rnacentral:rRNA from 1 species
AUACGGAGGGUGCGAGCGUUGUUCGGAAUUAUUGGGCGUAAAGCGCGUGUAGGCGGCUGUUUAAGUCUGAUGUGAAAGCCCUGGGCUCAACCCGGGAAGUGCAUUGGAUACUGGCAGACUUGAAUACGGGAGAGGGCAGUGGAAUUCCUGGUGUAGGAGUGAAAUCCGUAGAUAUCAGGAGGAACACCGGUGGCGAAGGCGGCUGCCUGGACCGAUAUUGACGCUGAGACGCGAAAGCGUGGGUAGC